UUAGCUCGACUAUUCGAAGAAUAUGAGAGCUAUUGUAGUCGCCCCGGCGUCGGCGUCGGCGUCGGCGUCAGCGUCGGCGUCUGCGUUGGUUAAAGUUUUUUGUAAAGUCAAAUAUCUCAAUUAUUACUUGAGAUAUUCAAUUGAAACUUACAAUACUUAUUUAUAGUAACAAGGUACAUCAGAUUGACAAGUUGGAUAACUCUGCCUACAAUAUUGACAGAAUAAUGCCCCUUUUUAACUUAGAAAUUUUGGUUAAAGAUUUUUGUAAAGUCAAAUAUCUCAAUUAUUGCUUGAGAUAUUCAAUUGAAACUUACAAUACUUAUUUAUAGUAACAAUGUACAUCAGAUUGACAAGUUGGAUAACUCUGCCUACCAUAUUGACAGAAUAAUGCCCCUUUGGAACUUAGAAAUUUUGGUUAAAGUUUUUUUGUAAAGUCAAAUAUCUCAAUUAUUGCUUGAGAUAUUCAAUUGAAAUUUAAAAUGUUUAUUUAUAGUAACAAUGUACAUCAGUUUGCAAAAUUGCAUAAGUCUGUCUACAAUAUUUGCAGAAUUAUUUGCCCCUUUGAAACUUAGAAAUUUUGAUUAAAGGUUAACAGUCUUCAAAGAUAUUUACUUGAAACUUUACACAUGCACUUAAGGUCAUAAUUGGAGGGUCAUAAUUGUAUGUCACUGACCAAGUUCCAUAACUCUAUCUUGCAUUAAGGCUGAUUCAUAUCCCCUUUUCUACUUAGUCUCUUGGUUAAUGUUUACAUGCAAGUUUUACAUAUCUCAAUAACUAUUAAAGAUAUUUAUUUAAAACUUCACAUAUGCAUUUAGGGUCAUAAUUGUAGGUCACUGACAAAGAUCCAUAAUUCUAUCUUGCAUUUAGGCUGAUUUUUCUCCCCUUUUUCAACUUAGAAAUUCAUGGUAAAGUUUUGCUUGUAAGCUGUUAUCUCAAUAACUACUGAAGGGUUUGUGCCUUUUUUGGGACAAUUUUAUGCAUUCAUAAUAAUAAAGCAGUGAUUUACUUGAUAAAACAUCUUUAUAACAAGCCUUUGUACCUUUUCUGUCAAAUUUAUGUAUUCAUAGGUAAUUAGUAUUAUUAUACUCAAUAUAAAACCCUUGUGACAUUACCUUCCGAAUAGUCAAGCCAAUUCUGUAUAAUUAGACUCUCUCUAAUGCCUAUAACAUGAAUUUAUAAAAAAAAAUUAGCCCUUUUGUGAACUUAAAAAAUUUAACAAUAUCAAGCUCUUUUA